UGUAACCAAUAAACAGACAAGGAGGGGGAGGAAAAAAAUCAGUGGCAGCUGGUGACCGGUGACCGGCCGGUGACGACGACCGCCAAGCGCCACGCGAACGGGAAGGGGAGCCACCUUCGGGGACACUCAUCUUUCCACCUGAACUGCUUCGGGAUCAGUGUCCGUUCCACGGGACAAGCUUAUAUUGUAGGUUCUGAUAAGGGUCUGAAGAAGAGAGGUUGAAAGAUUGAAAAAGGCGGCGAAAAUAAAACACACUACAGGAUGAUGUAGAAGACGUGCCGCCCCCAAGAAGUCACAGCAUGACACAUCAGCAUCCAGCUCUGCAGGAUCAGGAAGCAGAUGUUCUUCUAAGGGACACCCUAGAGGCAGCAAGGUGGUGCGAACGCCAAACAUUUAAAGGCACCGUUUACCUCCCAGGUGUAAUUGGGAUGGAUGGGGAAGACCGCAUUACAACCCUUAAAGAACUACAGUUGUAUGAUGGCCUGGAUGAAGAGGACAUUAUUCUCCUCAAGGAACCGUUCAUGUUUCAGUUACAGAGAGAUGAUGAGAUGUGCUAUGUGUUGACAACAAGAAAAUGACUAUCUUUGCCUCUUUUGAAGAGCAGGGUUGAAGCGGUUGGUCAAACCUUGUUUUUGUCUGCUGUGUUAAUCAUUUCAAUUGUUAAUUGUGUUUAUGUUGUUUAGU